UUCAACAUGUUUUUGCAGACGUGAUUGCACACGAGCCAUUUACAGCAUCACGAUCACACUCACACAUUCCUGGGAAGUGAAGGAAUGAGAUGAAGCAAGCCUGUAUGGAGCCUGAAAGCUAUUUGCAAUCUCCAAGCUUAGAAGAUGACGUAAGAAGUUCUUUUUGGCAAACUGCAAUGCUUACAGAAAUGUAAAUUCACUUCAGCUGAAAUGGCUCUGGUUGCUUAAAUUCCAUUACGUCUCACCCACCUGAUGCACCAUCAAUAACUCACUCUGAGACAUGAAGGCGAGAUAUCUUAUUGACUGGAAGAAGGAACAAGCAGUGAGUGACCACCAUACUACAUCCUGGAGACUGAGAGGCCGGGCUCAGGCCUUGAUCGCCUUUAUACAGGGGUCUGUGGGAGGAGCCACAGGAGCAGUCAGCAGGGGCCGUGUCCAGACAGGUGCAUGCAGGGAAAUGCGCUGUUUGCAUUAAAACCGAGGGGGUGUGCUGGGGGUACCCUGCAAGUGUCGCCACACUUUCCGGCACCAACAUAGCAUGCCUGCAAUGUUCGGCAAGACAUCAGUAAAACAAAACAAAAAGAAGAGGAGAGCAAGACCAGCCCCCUUCCCACCCUCCCACUCGCACGCAGUGACAGGCCUCCAACCCCAGGGCAGGCUCCUCGGCUGCGGACUCUCAGACGUGCAGACAUUGGGACUGAUAGACACAGGUGCUUCAGUUUCCUGCUUCCCAACGACGUUCAUGGUGGUAGGUGAACUGGUCACCACCGUAAAUUACCUCUGGUGUGUAGGUAGCACCAUGGUCCUGGAGGAACGUUGUACUGUACCAGCAGUUGUGGUUGAAAUGACAAUAAAAAGCGACUUGACUUGACUUGUGCUUGCAGCUCGUUCCACACUUACACAAUGAAUGUUCCCCCUCAUAUUCCCUUAAACAUUUCAUCUUUCACCCUUAACCCAUGACCUCUAGUUCUAGUCUCAACCAGUGGAAAAACUCUGCUUACACUUACCCGUCUAUACUCUUCACAAUUUUGCAUACCUCUUUCAAAUAUCCCCUCAAUCUUCUACGCUCUAGGGAAUGUGAUACUUGCUGAAAAAUCAUGGACCCAUAGCAUCAUUUUAGCAUCAUACAAGAGAAAUAUAAAUUAUGUAUAUUAAUUAUACACAAUUUUUGCCAGAAAGAGAAUAAUUAGAACUGGUCAUAGUGUUGAUAAAAUGUAACACAGGUUAAUCCCUUUGCCUGUGCUUGCAUACACCACGAGAGUGUUUAAUGUCUGUUGCAACAGCUAUCCGCCCUUUGUUGAGCAUUUUUCCAUUCAACCUAUCUGUUUUGACAUUUCUUUUUUCAGACUUCCUCAGUGUUAUGCAUUAGCCUUGUGAAUUGUGCAAUCCUUGUGUGCUGUCAGAGAGAACACAACAGAGAGAACAUGCUGAACAUUCUAGAAAGUGUCAGCAGUGCUUCUCUGGUGUGGCACAGACUGGAUGAAGUGGCAAAGUUAGAAGUUUUACAAAUUUGUUUACUUUGUCUGAUUUUUUUCACUCUAAUUUCUUUCACUCAGCUCCCUCCUCACUCACCUCAGGAUUCUCACCUCCAAGACCAAUGGACAAGAAUUGUAAAACUGCGCUCAAUAGAGGCAGAAGGUGCAAUGGUGUGUAAAGUCAUUGGGUCAUAAAUUUCAAGACCUGAGCUCAAGCUGAGAUUAGAUCACAUGGUAGUAUAGCACUUAGUGUAAAACCAUAAUGGUGCCAACUACUUGGGUUCAAUUCCCACUGCUGACUUCAUACAUGCUCCCCAUGACCUUAGAAAUCUACAGCACAUUACAGGCCCUUCAGCCCACAAACCAUGUAACCUGCUCUAGAAACUGUCUAGAAUUUCCCUAUCACAUAGCCCUCUAUUUUUCUAAGCUCCAUGUACUUAUCUUAGAGUCUCUUUAAAGAUCCUAUUGUAUCUGCCUCCACUACUGUCACUGGCAGUGCAUCCCACCCACCACCCCCUCUGUGUGAAAAACUCACUCCUGAUAUUCCCCCUGUUCCUAGUUCCAAGCACCUCAAAACUGUGCCCCCUUGGGUUAGCCAUUUCAGCCCUGGGAAAAAGCCUCUGGCUAUCUACACGAGCAAUGUCCCUUAUCAUCUUAUACAGCUUUAUCAGGUCACCUCUCAUCCCUUGUGAGUUUCCUCUGGGCUCUCCAGUUUCCUCCCACAUUCCAAAGUUUAUGCAUGUAAAGUGCACGGAAUAGGUAAACAGUAAACAGCUCACAGUCCUAGUGACAAGAUCUCGGUGGUGGCAGGGUAUUCAUUAAUCUCACAGCCUGGGGGAAGAAGCUGUUACCCAGUCUGGCAGUCCUGCUGAUGCUCCUGUACCUCUUUCUGAGGUAGUGGGUCAAAGAGAUUGUGGGAUGGGUGGUGGGGAUCCUCAACAAUGCCUCAGGCCCUUUGUAGAAGUAAUAUUGAUAGGAUGAAAUGAUCUGUUUGGAUGGCAUGCAAAACAAAGAUGUUCCUGAUGAGAGGAUGGAGAAAAGGGAGUGUGCAGGGGAGGGGUCCUGGAGCAGUGGAAGGUGUAAGGACUGGAGUCCUCGGCCCUGGCCCUUUGCCUCUCCCCUGUUCCCUGUCCCCAACUCCUAUCCAUAUCUCUUUGUGUCUGCCCCAGCCCUUGUUCCCAAGUCUGUCCUUGAUCUCCUCCCUGCUCUUGAUUCUACCCUGGUCUAUGCCUCUGCACUUCAAAGUUCAAAAUAAACUUAUUACUGAAGUCUCCUUAUGCUAGCCUGAGAUUCAUUUUUUGCAGGCAUUCACAGUAGGACAAAGAAAUCCAAGAGAACCAAUGUAGAACAAAACACAAAGACUGACAAACAGUCAAUAAGGCAGCAUGGUAACACAGCGGUUAGCACAACGCUUUGCAGUGCAGGUGACCCACGUACUCUUCCUGCUGCUGCCUGUAAGGAGUUUGUACGUUCUCCUUGUGACAGAGCAGGUUUCCUCUCACAGUCCAAAGGCCUACUGAUUAGCAGACUAAUUGGGCAUUGUCAUUUGUCCUGUUUUUAGCCCUAGGCUGCUGGGAGGCAUGGCUCGAAGGGCCUAUUCCACUCUGCAAAAAAAAGGUGAAUAAAUCAUACUGAGAACUUAAGUUGUAGAAUCUGUGAAAGAGAGUCCACUGGUUGUGGCAUCAGUUCAGAGCACUGUUCCCUCUGAGCUGUGUGGGUGUGUGACUGCACACUCACUGAAAUGCUCCCGUGCACAUAGCCUUCGUAGCCACACGGCUGGAACUUUAUCUUUAUAAAGUGUUUUCUUAAAGUGCUGUGCAGUGUAGAGGCCACGUAGAACUGUCCUGCUCAGAGAUGUAAAACAAAAUAGAGGGAAUGUUGGUUCAGAGUUACGCCUGUCCCUAUUCUUGCCCGUUUCUGAGUCCUCAGCAAAAUGAGAUCCCCAAGCUUACGCUGUGAGACUAUUUUUUUUUGGCUGUUUUAUAUUUAGAGACAAAAUGUUGACACAAUCAUGAGCCCAUUGCGAAACCCUGCAAUUGUUGACAGCAGCCUCACCAGGGAGACUGAUUCACAGAUACUAUUGUGCAAACAGCCAAGCAUAAACUGGUGUUACCCAGAAGCUGGAGAGGUUUUACUGGGCUCUUGUUUCUGCGAAUCUCGUUAUCAUGCCUUGAAACGUCAAGCUAGGAGAUGAUGAUGGAUAACCGGCUUGGGAAGUUUAAUGUUCAAAGAAAAUAUGUUAUCAAAAUAUGUACUGCAUAUGUCACCCCUGACAUUCAUUUCCUUGCAGGCACUUAAAGUAGGACAAAGAAAUACAAUAGCAUGAAUGGAAAGCUGCUCACAAAGACUUAUAACCAACCAAUGUGCAAAAGAAGACGAACUGUGUAAAUAAAUAAAUACGUUCAUUUGUGACAUUUACCAGGAGCAAUGCAGACUCAAAGCAUUGUUGAGGAUCCCUACCACCCAUCCCACAAUCUCUCUGACUUACUACCAUCAGGAAGGAGGUGCAGAGGCAUCAGGAUUAAGACUCUCGGGCUGAGUUACAAUUUUCUCGCCCAGGCUGUGAGACUAGAGAAUACCCUGCCACCACUGAGGUCCCGUCACUAGACAGCGAGCUGUUUACUGAUUACCUGUAGUAAACACAAAGUACACUGCAGAUGC